rnacentral:SRP_RNA from 12 species
CCCUGAGGUUUUCCUCCUCCAUGGCUAGCAGGAGCGGCUCCGCCUCAACUAAAGGCAAGGCCUCAUCGCGGCCAACGGAAGAGCCCAAGGCCUGGAAGCGAGCACGGA